AGGGGCAGCGGGAAGGUUAGCUUGCUAACCUUUGCUGGCGACCGGCGCACGGGUGAGUAACACGUAUGCAACCUGUCCGGUACAGGGGGAUAAGCGGCGGAAACGCCGUCUAAUACCGCGUGACAACCCGAGGGGGCAUCCCCUUGGGUUCAAAGGAGAGAUCCGGUACCGGCUGGGCAUGCGGCGCAUUAGCUAGUUGGCGGGGCAACGGCCCACCAAGGCGACGAUGCGUAGGGGUUCUGAGAGGAAGGUCCCCCACACUGGAACUGAGACACGGUCCAGACUCCUACGGGAGGCAGCAGUGAGGAAUAUUGGUCAAUGGGCGCAAGCCUGAACCAGCCAAGUCGCGUGAGGGAAGACGGCCCUACGGGUUGUAAACCUCUUUUGCCGGGGAGCAAGCCUGAGCACGUGUGCCCAGGCGGAGAGUACCCGGAGAAAAAGCAUAGGCUAACUCCGUGCCAGCAGCCGCGGUAAUACGGAGGAUGCGAGCGUUAUCCGGAUUUAUUGGGUUUAAAGGGUGCGCAGGCGGGCUGUUAAGCCGGCGGUAAAAAUUCAGGGCUCAACCCUGUCGAGCCGUCGGAACUGGCAGUUUUGAGUGGGCGAGAAGUAUGCGGAAUGCGUGGUGUAGCGGUGAAAUGCAUAGAUAUCACGAAGAACGCCGAUUGCGAAGGCAGCAUACCGGCGCCCAACUGACGCUGAGGCACGAAAGCGUGGGG
rnacentral:rRNA from 1 species